rnacentral:rRNA from 1 species
GCCUAAAGCGUCCGUAGCCUGUUCUAUAAGUUUCCGGUUAAAUCCAUUAGCUCAACUAAUGGGCUGCCGAAAAUACUGUAGAACUAGGGAGUGGGAGAGGUAGACGGUAUUCGGUAGGAAGGGGUAAAAUCCUUUGAUCUAUCGAGGACCACCUGUGGCGAAGGCGGUCUACCAGAACACGUUCGACGGUGAGGGAUGAAAGCUGGGGGAGCAAACCGGAUUAGAUACCCGGGUAGUCCCAGCUGUAAACGAUGCAGACUCGGUGAUGCGCUGGCUUGUGGCCAGUGCAGUGCCGCAGGGAAGCCGUUAAGUUUGCCGCCUGGGAAGUACGUACGCAAGUAUGAAACUUAAAGGAAUUGGCGGGGGAGCACCACAAGGGGUGAAGCCUGCGGUUCAAUUGGAGUCAACGCCAGAAAUCUUACCCGGAGAGACAGCAGAAUGAAGGUCAAGCUGAAGACUUUACCAGACAAGCUGAGAGGUGGUGCAUGGCCGUCGCCAGCUCGUGCCGUGAGAUGUCCUGUUAAGUCAGGUAACGAGCGAGACCCUUGCCUCUAGUUGCUACCAUUGCUCUCUGGAGCAGUGGGGCGAAUUAGCGGGACCGCCGCAGUUAAUGCGGAGGAAGGAAAGGGCUACGGCAGGUCAGUAUGCCCCGAA